rnacentral:rRNA from 1 species
CCUAUACAGGUGUUGCAUGGCUGUCGUCAGCUCGUGUCGUGAGAUGUUCGGUUAAGUCCGCUAACGAGCGCAACCCUCGUCGUAUGUUAUAUGUGUCAUACGAGACUGCCGGUAAAAAGCCGGAGGAAGGUGAGGAUGAUGUCAAGUCAGCAUGACCUUUAUAUCCAGGGCUACACACACGCUACAAUGGUCUGUACAAUGGGUAGCCAAGCCGCGAGGCGGAGCCAAUCCUGAAAGCAGGCCUCAGUUCAGAUUGCAGUCUGCAACUCGACUGCAUGAAGCCGGAGUUGCUAGUAACCGCAGGUCAGCAAUACUGCGGUGAAUACGUUCCCGGGUCUU